rnacentral:rRNA from 1 species
UGGGGAAUUUUGGACAAUGGGCGCAAGCCUGAUCCAGCCAUGCCGCGUGCAGGAUGAAGGCCUUCGGGUUGUAAACUGCUUUUGUACGGAACGAAAAGGUGCCUUCUAAUAAAGGGCGCUCAUGACGGUACCGUAAGAAUAAGCACCGGCUAACUACGUGCCAGCAGCCGCGGUAAUACGUAGGGUGCGAGCGUUAAUCGGAAUUACUGGGCGUAAAGCGUGCGCAGGCGGUUUUGUAAGACAGAGGUGAAAUCCCCGGGCUCAACCUGGGAACUGCCUUUGUGACUGCAAGGCUGGAGUGCGGCAGAGGGGGAUGGUAUUCCGCGUGUAGCAGUGAAAUGCGUAGAUAUGCGGAGGAACACCGAUGGCGAAGGCAAUCCCCUGGGCCUGCACUGACGCUCAUGCACGAAAGCGUGGGGAGCAAACA